UCAGCUUGAUGGCGGGGUAACGGCCCACCAUGGCUUCGACGGGUAGCCGGCCUGAGAGGGCGACCGGCCACAUUGGGACUGAGAUACGGCCCAGACUCCUACGGGAGGCAGCAGUGGGGAAUAUUGCACAAUGGGCGCAAGCCUGAUGCAGCGACGCCGCGUGCGGGAUGACGGCCUUCGGGUUGUAAACCGCUUUUGACUGGGAGCAAGCCCUUCGGGGUGAGUGUACCUUUCGAAUAAGCACCGGCUAACUACGUGCCAGCAGCCGCGGUAAUACGUAGGGUGCAAGCGUUAUCCGGAAUUAUUGGGCGUAAAGGGCUCGUAGGCGGUUCGUCGCGUCCGGUGUGAAAGUCCAUCGCUUAACGGUGGAUCCGCGCCGGGUACGGGCGGGCUUGAGUGCGGUAGGGGAGACUGGAAUUCCCGGUGUAACGGUGGAAUGUGUAGAUAUCGGGAAGAACACCAAUGGCGAAGGCAGGUCUCUGGGCCGUCACUGACGCUGAGGAGCGAAAGCGUGGGGAGCGAACAGGAUUAGAUACCCUGGUAGUCCACGCCGUAAACGGUGGAUGCUGGAUGUGGGGACCAUUCCACGGUCUCCGUGUCGGAGCCAACGCGUUAAGCAUCCCGCCUGGGGAGUACGGCCGCAAGGCUAAAACUCAAAGAAAUUGACGGGGGCCCGCACAAGCGGCGGAGCAUGCGGAUUAAUUCGAUGCAACGCGAAGAACCUUACCUGGGCUUGACAUGUUCCCGACAGCCCCAGAGAUGGGGCCUCCCUUCGGGGCGGGUUCACAGGUGGUGCAUGGUCGUCGUCAGCUCGUGUCGUGAGAUGUUGGGUUAAGUCCCGCAACGAGCGCAACCCUCGCCCUGUGUUGCCAGCACGUCGUGGUGGGAACUCACGGGGGACCGCCGGGGUCAACUCGGAGGAAGGUGGGGAUGACGUCAGAUCAUCAUGCCCCUUACGUCCAGGGCUUCACGCAUGCUACAAUGGCCGGUACAACGGGAUGCGACACUGUGAGGUGGAGCGGAUCCCUUAAAACCGGUCUCAGUUCGGAUUGGAGUCUGCAACCCGACUCCAUGAAGGCGGAGUCGCUAGUAAUCGCGGA
rnacentral:rRNA from 1 species